rnacentral:rRNA from 1 species
AGUGAACGCUGGCGGCAGGCCUAACACAUGCAAGUCGAGCGGCAGCGGGGUUCCCGCGAGGGGAUGCCGGCGAGCGGCGGACGGGUGAGGAACACAUCGGAAUCUGCCUGGUUGUGGGGGAUAACGUAGGGAAACUUACGCUAAUACCGCAUGCGACCCUGAGUCGACGGACUGGGGGUGAAAGUGAGGGACCUUCGGGCCUCACGCGACCAGAUGAGCCGAUGUCGGANAGCUAGUUGGCGGGGUAACGGCCCGCCAAGGCGACGAUCCGUAGCUGGUCUGAGAGGAUGAUCAGCCACACUGGGACUGAGACACGGCCCAGACUCCUACGGAGGCAGCAGUGGGGAAUCUUGGACAAUGGGCGCAAGCCUGAUCCAGCCAUG